CGAAAUUAAUAAAACAUUUAACAUUUGAAUUUCUCAUAAAUUAAAUCAAGUUUAAAUAUAAUUAAUGUAAAAAUAUAAUUAAUGUAAAAUACGAAAACGAGCCCUAAACAUCGGGGUGUCACUAAGUCAUGAGCGUCUAAAACUACAAACUAAGAUAUAUAAAUUGUCUAACUGUCCAAAAGAAUAAAUGACAAAAGGAGUAACAAGGUCGUGCGAAAUUAGCAGCUACCUUGCAAUCUCCAUAGAUAGUCGGUCUGAACUCAACGAUCGCUGCUUUCUAACUCACCUGGAUCUGCAUAUAAAGUGCAGGGUGUAGUAUGAGUACAACCACCUCAGUAGUAAUAGAAAUAACUAAGAAACUGAGAAGUAGUGACUAGCUAAGCAAAACAGUCCA
rnacentral:lncRNA from 1 species